rnacentral:lncRNA from 1 species
GGAGAUAACUCUUUAAAUCAGUCAAGCGUUUGUAAAAGUCAAGUUCACCAAUGUAUUUUAAGCAUUUACCUGAAACAGAUUGAAAAUAAUCUAUGUAACCUAGAAGCUUAGAAUAUGUUUUUGAAAAUGGUUGACACAAACGUACUGAUGAGUUUAAGAGUUAUUUCCCUUAACCUAGGUCUACCACUUUAAUGACAGUUGUUUAUAGCUCCGUUAUAUUGACACCAAGGGUAAGCAUCCCAAACAGACAUUAUUAGAUAAUGGGGCAAUAAGUCAAAACCGUGUUAACAACAUCACAGACAUACAACACAUCUGAC